UCCGGGGAACCCGUGCACCCAAAUGCCGGGAAGGCCUUGGCGGCGGCCAUGAAGGAUGCGUGCGUAUAGAAGGAGGAUCCCGCGCAGCCGAUGCCAGCCUUCUUCUUGUCCAGCAGCUGGUCGAACAGGUCGCUCGGGAUGAGGGCUCCAAUGUCGAUGAGCGGUGGCAAUAGAGAGGUGGUGUUGUGACUGUGAGCAUCUUGAGCUCUUCCUCCUCGUUUUCCACUGCAAUUGCAAUGGUUUGCUGCAACCAAAGAACUUAGAACAAGAAGCAGAGAGAAGAUCAAAGCGAGAGAGAGUUUUGCAAAUGCCAUUGUUGGCUAUCUUUUGCUAGUGUGGAGUGGGAGAUGGAAGUGUGGGUUUGUGAGGGAUCUUGUGUGGGUUUAUAUAGAGAGCGCAUGAUCUGUGCGUGAUCGAGUCAGCACUAGAGCAAAGAGGGGCUCUGUCCAGGUCGCGACAGACAGUAAGGUAUGGUUUUCUUCGUGUCACAUUGUGUGGAGAGGAUGUUGACCACCACAACGAAGUGCCAAGAUUAGAGAGACUGAAGGAGUGCAUCCAAUUUACUAUUUCUACAUUGUGCUAUGAAAACUUGUGAGUGACCAGCCAAACUUUAACAUCAGCUGGAGUGCAGUGUGAUCCAGCCACCCUAGUUUCUGGAAAAGUUUUUAGUUUAUUUGAUACUUGAUAGUCUAAAAUAUGCCCUUCUUGGGAUACAAUGUUCAUAUUUGGAAUAGACUUCCAUAAACAGGAAUUAAAACAUGUAAUAUAUAUAAAAUAUAUGACACAGAAAACCGGCCUUCUCCAAUCGCGAAUACCAAUAUUGACAAUUCUCAUCACGGCAUGUACUGGACAAUCCAUGCAGGCGAUGGCAUUCCAGCGGAUGGAUCUUGAAGGGGCUUGGGAUGGAUCUUCACCAGCUAACGUUUUUCUGCCACCAGCGGGAAGUGUGGGAUCAUCGCGGCCGAUAGCAGGCGGUGUAUGAUCGUGCUGCUGCGAAUGCCUGGCUCCUGGAUCUGGCGAAAGCAAUCCACGGAAGAGUAAUCGCCGACGACCACAUAGAUCGAACCACCGUGGGCAUUGCGUGGUAAGAUGCCAAAGCUUUGAGGAUUCCGUGGCCAGCGAUUCCCACCGUGAAUGUCCGCUAGGCUGCUUAAGAUUGCCAUACAACGAGCAGCAUUUAUGAAUUGGAUGGUUCCAUUGAAGAAGACUGACGACCGUGGCCGGACUUAAGGCAACUGGUAAUCGCUUCUCUCUAUAUAUCCAAUCAGGAUCAAUUCAUAUACAUUGUGUCUAACUUGUUCAAAACGAGCUCCAAAUUCUCGACCUCCGCAGCAGCAUGAUCUAUGAAUUCCCCCACCCGGACAUCGUACAGAGCACGGAGCCUCCGUGGAUUUUCCAGCACUUGGUAGAGCAGCACACCUCCAAUCCUCGCCCUCUUGAAAGUUGAAAGGAUUCGACUUGAUCCUCUCCCCUCCAUACUCGAGCCCAGAACGCAGGUGUUCCAUCCUCGCCUCCACCACCUUCCUCAAAGCGUUCCUUGCAGCAGCACUGGAAUCCAUAGCCAGGGGAACAAUGCUCGGAGAAAAAGAACUUAAUAGCUUCCAACUUAGGUGUCUCUGGUCCAUGAGCAAUCCAAUCACUCUGCCAAUGAGCUCUUCAUCCCCAAACCAGAACACAUUCUCCACGAAAUCCCUGGCCAUGGGAAUCACACUGCAAUGGCGGACGCUUGCCACCCUAUUGUACUCAUCCUGAGCAAGCUCUUCCGCGGAAUCAAAGUGCUCUUUCGCAGAAUCAAAGUUCGCAGUGGGAUAAAUAUCGUAAAUUAGUGAGCCUUGACGAGGAGCAUUCCCAUGCAAGUGAGAAGCACACAGCCCAGCAAGCAAGGCUGUCACUGCCCCCCGCUCUUUCAUGCCUAGCAAACUGGCUGCGCUCCUCAUCAGUGUCAAUGUCCUCACCAGUCUAAAUUUAUUCUUCCUCUCCUCCCAGACUAAAGACUUUGCUGUAUUCGUCGACAAUUUUCGCCAUGAAACCAGAAACGGCAGUACUAGCACUAGACUGUAGUUGCAUUUGUAAUACACUUUGAGUUCCUCUUCCACGUCCACCAGCAGCUGAUUCUCCACCUUGCUUGCGAGCUGCACGGCAAUGUCUAGCGAGCCAUACGCCGCAAGCUUGGAGAUCAGCUUCACAACACUGGCCAGGAACCGUCUGUAAACAUCGAAAAUGGUUGCACGCCCCAUGUGCCUCGAUGAAAGUUUUAGCUUGAGUUUCUCCGCUUCCAAAUCCGUUGAUGUUAGCUUGUCCACUCGAGCUUCCACGGUCUUGCGGUACUCAUGGCUGCAAUGCACUGCCAGUGCAACGCACUCAAGCGGGGCCUCGGAGACGAUCUCCAAAGCCUCGGCCUUGCACGCUGGAGUGUCGACUAACAGCUUCUCUAAAAGUUUGGCAGGACAUUUCUUGACAUAUUGCAUGAGCUUUCUGGCCAGCUCCAUCGCUCCAUGCUCACACCCCGCGGACUUGAGGUUGCCCAGCAAAUUCUCAAUUCCCUGAUCAAACAUGGAGUAAGACUGUAGGUUCCCGAGGCACAAGUCCAAAACCUUGCCUAUGGCCGGCUUCCACUUCUCUAGUGCCACCUCGAGUCUUCCCUUGCAUCCUCAGCAGUGGCAGCGUCUUUCAAGAGCCCAGCCACAAUUGUGCUGUGGACGGGACUCGAGCAACUCGAGAGAAUCGCAUCACAGCGUUUACUCUUGGGCCAGGCCACCAGCACUGCGACGUGAUAGUACUCUGUUCCACCUUUGUUCCCCAGGUACCCUUGCUUGUCAAAGUUUUCCUCGUCAUGUAACUUGUCAAAUGGCUCUAGACUGUUACCACCAACGAAUCUCAGUACGUCGUUGAUCGGCUAUCUUCUAAAUUUCAGGAAGUGAUUCUUGGAUCAUCAUUACCAACAUCAUCAUCAUCAACUUUAUCAUGAUCCUGUACAAGCUUGGUGAGCAUGCAGAGAUGGAGGUCCCGGAAAUCACACCCCCGGAGAAGAGCAGCCACCAUGCGAUCGUCUCCCUUGAGCCCAGCAAAGCGCAAGCUCUUGCUCAAGUACUUGUGGCAGACCGGGAUCACCAUCUUUGCUCUAACACCCUCGCUGCAGCUUGCCCAUUCUUGCAUCAAAGACUGAACGCGGGGCAGUGACGAUAUGAAGAACGCACGCCCAAGAACCUGGUGUUCUUUCUCACCAAGAUAAACACCAAGCACAAUCUCGGUCCUCUCGUCACCUCGUCAAGCUUGUGCUUGCAGUCACAGAAAAAGGUGGUGUAGAAGUAGCUACUAGUGGAUUGGAAGUUCAAAGCCUUGGAGCAGCCCAAGUGCUGGACUGUGAGAGCUCCACCCCCAUGGCCCAUUUGGGUGGGGAGCUGGAUGACCAUGGUCGCAAACAUCCCAUCUUCCUUUUCCGUGUCCCUUGAAAUGCCCACCUUACAUCUUGUAGAGUUUCACGCCAAGCUCCACGGCUCUGGCGUCCACUCCCAUGUUCGAGAGAGCGGCGGACGCUACGUCGUGGACGGUCUUAAACUCUGGAUUGUCGGGGAAGGAGAUCUUGGAGGAGUUGCCAGACGCGGACGCUGGUGUCGAAACGAGUCCGCUUGCCAAUGCGAAAAGGUGCCGGCUGUGAGACAUGCUUGAGCUUAGCAAGAUCCUCGGGUGAGAGUGGGAGCUGGAUGGCGCCACCGGUGAUGCCCUCUACUGCCACAGUCCGUGGAAUAGGAUAACGCUGCACAUCGAUCUCACCUCCAACAGCAAAAGUGUUUGCCGAUACGCCAUGCCAAAGCACUUUGAGAAGCUCCUGCGUCAUUAAACCUAUCCUCUGCGAGAGAUCAAGAAGUCUAGAGGUCAUGACACAAAUAUUUGCAAUCGGUAACCAGAAAGUCGUCACCAACAAUCUAGACAAUAGAGGGACCUGGGAUUGGGGAGCGUCUAACGCCCAGAUCCAUGCCCAGCUGGUCACCCAGCGCAUAACAUUGCUGGCGGAGCAAAAGCAUGUGAAACGUGAUGUACAGACAGCAAUGAACAGGAAAAUCCACCUUUUGUCGAAACCUCUUACCUAGGUUGCGCUUCUUGAUGUAAAGUCUCCUUGUAGUGCCGAAUUUAAUCUGAAACUAACCUUGCAUCACUCAAGGCUCCACACCGGAUCCCAGGGCCGCAGAGCAGGAGAAGGCGACUCCGGACAAGCCACCCCUUGCCCCAAGAAACAUCAAACUCAUUUUCCAUCCUGCAUGACCCGCUGGGUGACCAGCAUGCCAUCAUUCCCAUCCAGCUUUUCACACUUCUCAUAGUAUGGUAUAUGGCCGUGGAAGGAGUCAGCUGGCAAAUGAAGCUAACAUACGAAAGCAAUCCAUAACCUGAACAUUGCCAAAAACAAAAGAAAGUACUACAGAGGUUAAGCUUCUUCUGAUUUCUUAGAAGGUCAUAAACUCCGUCCCUUGAUCAGGGAAUGCGAAGUCUGACAAGAAGCUGAACAACCAUUUCAAGGAGCUCCUUGUAGAAAAGUGAGUGCAUUGAUCAUUUUAUUGUCGAACAUUGUUUUUUUGUGGUGUUUCAGGCAGCAAAACGAGCUAGCCACAACCUGUGCAUCUAUCACACAUUUACAACAGUGAGAGAUACAGGAGGAUUCUGUUCGCUCAAGCUUGAGAACUGGCACUAUGGAGAAUACCUGGUGAGAAUACUGUUUGUACGUGCUCCUCCCCUCAUUGAGCUAGUCCUGUUCCCCAGUCAGGGCAUUUGGAGUGGUUCGUCAUGUUUAGUGUAGCUAUUGAUCAAGGUUUCUUGUCAUUUCUUUCUCUAGCGUGCUCUUUUCAUUGAUUUCUUCACCCGAAUCCCCAAUAGGAGUAUUCUAUUGUCUAGAUUGACUUUCUGGUUACCAAUUGCAAGUUUUUAAAAUUAUUUGUGCCAGAAUAUCACAAAUGUGACUGCAGGGAAUGUGCACACAUGACCUCUAGACUCCAGGGAUCCCUCUUGACUUUUAAUCUCUUCCACUCCAGGUCGCAGAUGAUCUGUGUGGAGUGAAAGUUGGGACUUUUGAGCUAUGAUCCACGUGUGCAUCGAUGCUUGUUGGGAAUAGUUUGGCUUGAACGUGAUUGUAUUAUAAGUUCUGAUUAGAAUGCUAAAAUUCCAUUGGUUAUCAUUGGACUGUUUUGAGUAGCAAGAUGAGCAACAAGAGGCCAGUCAAGGCAUGCGAGCUGGAGAAAGCCCUCAAUCUAUGGGCUGGAUCACACUGCAAAUAAAAUUUUGGCAAGCUAAUACUAAAGAUACAAAAGUAAACCUCCUUCAGAUCAUGGUACUUCUUAGUGGUGGUCUCCACACUAUGUGACACGAAGAAAAGCAUACCUUACUGUCUCUCCUGGAACGAAUCCCUCUUUUCUCUAGUGCUGAUCGAUCACGCACAGAUGACGCGUUCUCUAUAGAUCCCUUAAAAAAACCCAGCACUUCCAACUAGCAAAAGAAAACCAACGAUGGCAUUUCCAAAAAUCUCUCUAGUUUUGAUCGUCUCUCCUCUUCAUGUUCUAAGUUCGUUGGUUGCAGCAAACUGCCUGCUCAUUCUGCUCUCUGCUGCCAUGAUCCAUUGUCAGUUCCAUGCUCCUUGCAAUUGCGGUGGAAAAGGACGAAAAGGAGGAGGAGGAGCUCCAGGUGAUCACAAUCACCAAUCGGCGCCGCUCACCAUGUUGGACAAGAAGAAGGCUGGCAUGGAUCCUCCUUCUACACGCACGCAUCCUUCAUGGCCGCUGCCAAGGCCUUCCCUGCACCGGCAUUUGGGUGCACGUUCCCCCGAACAGCGCAAGACAGAUCGCCGCCCUAUUUGCCCAGAAAUCGGCUCAAACAGGUGAGACCAACUUUUCACUUUCAUAGCCCGCCACCUUUACUUGAGUUUCUUUGUGUGUGAUCCAGGUGGGCUGCUAGGAGGGCUGCAGUCUGCUUGGUGGAACAGGAUAAAAGUCGGUAUUGCAAGGAAUCGGCAGCCUUGCGUUGCGCUCCCACCAUGGCCAAGGACCAUUGCUGCUUACAUGGUAUAGAAAUAUAUUGUAACCCAUGUGAUCUAAUGCUUGCGAUCUACAGGAGCUUCAACUAUGGAGCCUGUGGACAUGCUCUUGGUUUUGAUGAAAUAAAAAAAUCCAGAAAUGGUCGCACCGCUCUCUGGUUCUGGAUGACCCCGCGAUGUGAUCCUCGGAAGCAAAGUCGAUAUUAGUGCCGGGAGAACUACUGGGUGUUAUGGAACAGUCAAUAAUACCAUCAAUGGACGGGAAGAAUUUGGGCAGGGUCCUAAUGCCCAUGGCGUUUUACAAGCGUUCUCGGACUUCUCCUGGGGGUUGACACUGGACCAAAUGUGGAUUGCUACAACCAGGAGCCUUGGAACUAAGUUAGCUCAAUCGCGGGAACUUGACAAUAGUGUAACUUUGUGGCAAUGGAAUGAUAAUAUAGUGCUUGUGCAGAGAUUGCUAUUGUCUCGGGUGGACUAGCUCUGUGUUGAAGACGUCCGAGAAUGCCUGGAGCAAAUUCUUGUGGAUGUGAGCGAGCAUGUCUGUGUUGGGCGACGAUGAAUCGACGAGCUUGGCGACGGGUCACGAAUGCCACAAGGAAUGAUCUUGCUGAAUGGGGAGGGGUCAGUGAUGACAUUGAGAGCCAAGCUGUGGAAGGUGAUCCACUUUGAGCUGGAGAGGACCAGUGGUGGAGGAGAAUGUUCUGCACCUCUCCAGUGAUCCUUGCAGCACAGAACCCCCAAAUGGUUGGUUUCCACAGCUUGGCUUUCAAUGUCACCACCGACCUCUCCCCCUUCAGCAAGAUGUUUUUUUGCAGCAUUCACGACAAGGCCUUGAGGAGCGUCGCCAAGCCCAUCAAUUCAGCAUUGCCCCAACACAAACAACAAAAAUUUGCUCCAUUCUUGGAUGUCUUCAAUAUAGAGCUAGUCAAUAGCAAUCACUAUACAAACACUAUAUUAUCAUUCAUUAUAAUUAAUCACACCAUUGUCACAAAGUUACAUUAUUGUCAAGUUCUCGCGAUCGAGCUAAUUUAGUUCCAUGGCUUCUGGUUGUAGCAAUCCACAUUUGGUCCAGUGUCAACCCCCAGGAGAACUCCGAGACGCUUGUAAAACCCAACUCGAACUUUGCCAUGGGCAUUAGGACCCUGCCCACAUUCUUCGCGUCCAUUGAUGAUAUUAGUGACUGUUCCAUAACACCCAGUAGUUCUCCCGGCACUAAUAUCGACUUUGCUUGGCUUCCACACGCCGAGGAUCACAUCGUGGCAAGAGGGCGCGUUGCCUUGCGGGGUCAUCCAGAACCAGAGAGCGGUCUUGAACGCCACCUCGGGAUCUUUUGCGACUAUCUCGGGGUUUUUUAUUCCAUCGAAGCCAACAGCACGUCCACAGGCUCCAUAGUUGAAGUUCCUAUAGAUCACAAGUGAGAAUCAUAUGGUUUACAAUAUAUUCUAUACCAUUUGAGCUGCAAUGGUCCUCGGCCAUGGUAGCUCUUGCCAGGAGCGCAAGGCCAGGCUUCCGAUUGCUGGCAAUAUCGGUUUUUAUCAUGUGAUUCCACCAUGCAGUAUCCAGAAGAGAGCAACCCUCCUGGAAGCCCACCUAAGUCACACACAAAGAAACUCUAGUUAUGAAAAGGUGGCGGGCUAUGAAAGUGGAAAGUCGGUCUCUCACCUCCGGCGGUUUGAGCCGACGUCUGGGCAAAGAAGGCGGCGAUCUCCGUCUUGCGCUGCUCCGGGGAACCCGUGCACCCAAAUGCCGGGAAGGCCUUGGCGGCGGCCAUGAAGGAUGCGUGCGUGUAGAAGGAGGAUCCCGCGCAGCCCAUGACAGCCUUCUUGUUGUCCAGCAGCUGGUCGAACAGGUCGCUCGAGACGAGGGCUCCAAUGUCGAUGGUGGGCGGCGAUGGAGAGGUGGUGUUGUGACUGUGGCCGCCUUGAGCUCUUCCUCCUCGUUUUCCACCG
rnacentral:lncRNA from 1 species